UACAGAGGGGGCAAGCGUUAUUCGGAAUUAUUGGGCGUAAAGGGCGCGUAGGCGGCCUGGCAAGUGGAUGGUGAAAUCCCUCGGCUUAACCGAGGAACUGCCAUCCAGACUGCUUGGCUUGAGACCGGGAGAGGUGAGUGGAAUUCACGGUGUAGCAGUGAAAUGCGUAGAUAUCGUGAGGAAGACCAGUGGCGAAGGCGAUUCUCUGGGCAGUUCCUGACACUGAGGCACGAAGGCUAGGGGAGCAAACGGG
rnacentral:rRNA from 1 species